CUAAGUUUGAUGGCGACCGGCGCACGGGUGAGUAACACGUAUCUAACCUGCCGAUGACUCGGGGAUAGCCUUUCGAAAGAAAGGUUAAUACCCGAUGGCAUAGUUCUUCCGCAUGGUAGAACUAUUAAAGAAUUUCGGUUAUCGAUGGGGAUGCGUUCCAUUAGGCAGUUGGUGGGGUAACGGCUCACCAAGCCUUCGAUGGAUAGGGGUUCUGAGAGGAAGGUCCCCCACAUUGGAACUGAGACACGGUCCAAACUCCUACGGGAGGCAGCAUG
rnacentral:rRNA from 1 species